GUCACUUUCUGCCAGAGUUGCCCAUUAAAAUGACAAAGCAAUCUGCUCCCAGAUACCUUGGCCAGAACUUGAAAAAUGACUGGAAGACUUCAUAAAACUCCCAAUACUCAUAUCCUCCAAGGUUAUACGUCUCACUCAAUCUCCCAUCUCAAGCUUCGCAGAAAACUUGCAUGGACCUGCUCUCCUAAACAUUGACUUUGACUUCAGUAGAAUGGCAUAACAUCAACAUAACCACCUUGGUUGCGGACUACACCAGCAUGUAUAGCUGCUCGGCAGAUACUGGAUAUCUAAGAAAGAAAGAGG